rnacentral:rRNA from 1 species
CCUACGGGGGGCAGCAGUGGGGAAUAUUGGGCAAUGGGCGCAAGCCUGACCCAGCAACGCCGCGUGAAGGAAGAAGGCUUUCGGGUUGUAAACUUCUUUUCUCAGGGACGAAGCAAGUGACGGUACCUGAGGAAUAAGCCACGGCUAACUUCGUGCCAGCAGCCGCGGUAAUACGUAGGUGGCAAGCGUUCUCCGGAUUUACUGGGUUUAAAGGGCGUGUAGGCGGGACUGCAUGUCAGAUGUGAAAACGACGGGCUCAACCUGUGGCCUGCAUUUGAAACUGUAGUGCUUGAGUACUGGAGAGGCAGACGGAAUUUCUAGUGUAGCGGUGAAAUGCGUAGAUAUUAGGAGGAACACCAGUGGCGAAGGCAGUCUGCUGGACAGCAACUGACGCUAAGGCGCGAAAGCGUAGGGAGCAAACAGGAUUAGAUACCCGUGUAGUC